GGCUAAAAAGAAUGAGUGUCAUGCCACGUUAACCAAGGGAACAAAAUUGUAAAUAUGGAGAGGAGAAACAGGUUUCCAAGUUUAUAUUGCUGCUAUCUUCUGGGGAUCAACUUCUGUUGUCACCAUAAUGUGUUAUGUUGAAGGGGCAGCCAGGGCUGUGGAGCGGCUGCUGGAGAGUCCCGUGAGAAUACCCAGGAAGCUCAGUGGCAGCGGAUGUUGGAUCAGCCUCACAAGUGAAAAUAAAUCCACAGCAUGCCAACUCUUGAAGUCCUCGAGAGCAACCAUGAAAUGAAUCAUUUUUAUAUUCUCAAUGACAAGUAUAUGAUUUUAAAGUUUAUAAAAGAAAAGAAUGAAUGAAUUAGAACUUUGAAAGAUCAUCUCUUGGAUGACCUACCAAGGUCCCGAGUCCCACAGAACAUGUCGAAUUAGCCCACUGGAGACAGGCAGGUGUGUGCACGCCCUACUGAGGUCCCAAGUCACACAGAAGAUGACAAAUCACCCCACUGCAGACCAGCAGGUCUGCCCAUGCCCUACUGAGGUCCUGAGUGACACGGAACACGCCGAAUCACCCUGCUGCAGACAGGUAGCCACCUGGUUCCACACUACUAAGAUGCAGAGGACACCAGACCACCAGACCAAGGUACUGAGUCCUGCUGCUCCCGGCCCAGAGGUAGGGGCUUCUGAGCCGUCAUCCCACUGCUCCUGGUCCGGGGAAGGGGCUUCCUGGUCACCAUCCCUCCCACUGCUCCAAGCCCAAAGGAAAGGGCUUUUGGGCCACCUUCUGACCCACUUCUCCUGGCCCAGAGGAAGGGGCUUCCAGCCCACCAUCCCUCCCACCACUCCGGGCCCAGAGGUAGGGGCUUCUGAGCCACCAUCCCACUGCUUCUGGUCCAGAGGAAGGGGCUUCCCAGGCACCAUCCCUCCUGCUGCUCCCAGCCCACAGGAAAGGGCUUUUGGGUCACCAUCCCUACCGCUGCUCCUGGCCCCUGUCCCACCACUCACAGCUCAGAGGAG
rnacentral:lncRNA from 1 species